rnacentral:lncRNA from 1 species
UGAUAGAUUUUUUGCUAUUGUAGAGACAACACAAAAUAAAAUAUUAAACAACUUAAUAAGGGUUAAUGAUUUAUCAUUUUGUGUUUUUGUUUGUGACAUUGGUGUUAAUGGUACUAACCUUAGAAGCUAGAAAAAUCUCUUCCGUGGGUGAAUUCUGUGGGCAUCUGGGGUUUGGGAUAGAGUUAACCAAAAAUUAUUAGGCAUGCUCUUGUGUCUAAAUAUCAGUCACUUCCCCGAGCACUCUUUCCUUCCGUUGUCAUUGUGGUGGUUUGAAUGAGAGUGACCCCAGAGGGUCAUAUGUUUGAAUAAUUGGCUCCCAGUUAGUGAACUGUUUGGAAAAAAUGAGAUGUGGCCUUGUUGGAGAAGACAGAUCGCUGGAGUUGGUCUUUGAGGUUUCAAAAGAUGCAUGCUGUUCCCAGUGUGCUCUGUCUCCUGCCUGUGGUCUGAGAUGUGAGCUCCCAGCUGUUCCUACCACCAUCAAGGUACUCUUGCUGUUGCUCCAUCAUCGCAGACUCUAACCCUCUGGAAUCAUACGUUCAAUCAGGGCCUGUGUGGCUGUGCCACCAGCAAUCUUUCAACACUGAAAAGGACAAAGAAAAUCCAUUACUCUGUUACAAGAAGAAAGAAUUUCUAUGGCAAAAAGGAUGAUGAGAAGAAUGGCUAAUGGGUUUACAGGAACUCUUAACACAAAGCUGGGUGUUCAGAUACCAAGAGUUUGUAAAAAAAAAAAGAAAAAAAUACGCAAUCCAAGGCAAGCAGUCAAGGACCACAAGACAAUGUGUGUAUGAGACUUCCGGACCUCUCCAUGACCUUUGCUGCAUGCAUGAGGAGAAACGGCCUGCUAGAACAGAUCUGCAAAGGAUUGCUCUGCCUGAGGCUGCCUGAGCUUACAACUGCAGUCUGAAGGGAUAAGGAACUUGAAAGGUGUCAGGCCACCACAAUAACAUGCACUGUUUGUGAAAUGGGAAUAAAUCCCAUCUGAGUCUAAGGACUGUGGACAGAUACCAUGUCUGUCCACAUAACUUGUUUCAGACUCUUCCCCUGCUCACUUCCUUCUGAGUGGCCUCUCCCGUGCAAGUGUGGAGGCUAAAGAAGAAUCAACUCUCCAAGCAACCUCGAUGAGAGAAACGAGCUUUGGAUACUUCGAAAGCCUCCAUGCCGUGGACCAGGAAGAUGACCUGCUUGCCACCCUUUCCCCUGUGUUUAUACAUUCCAGAGUUCUGCUCUUAAGUAUACUUUGAAAACUCCCUUGGAAGAAACCAAAUAUGCCUUGUUCCAGGGUUGCUUUGAAUGUUUUCAGCUUGUAGUCAUGGUUGACAUAACCUAAUUCAAAACAUAUUGGAAGCACAAUGGCACCAAACCUGGGUCGGGAGCCUCAAUGUUUCUCUUGAAUGGGUUCACUUGUUUUCUCUUUUGCUGUAAUUUUUUUUUCUC